CCCGAGAGUCGGACACCUCCCGACGCCGAGCCAUGGAGCCGGAGCCGGUGGAGGACUGUGUACAGAGCACACUCGCUGCCUUGUACCCACCCUUCGAAGCCACAGCCCCAACCCUGUUGGGCCAAGUGUUCCAGGUGGUGGAGAGGACUUACCAGGAGGAUGCGCUGAGGUACACGCUGGACUUCCUGGUACCUGCUAAACACCUGCUUGCCAAGGUCCAGCAGGAAGCCUGUGCCCAGUAUAGUGGAUUUCUCUUCUUCCAUGAGGGCUGGCCACUCUGCUUGCAUGAACAGGUCGUAGUACAACUAGCAGCCCUUCCCUGGCAGCUGCUGCGGCCUGGCGACUUCUACCUGCAGGUCAUACCCUCAGCAGCCCAAGCUCCCCGCCUGGCCCUGAAAUGUCUGGCCCCAGGAGGUGGGCGGGUACAGGAGCUGCCAGUGCCCAAUGAAGCCUGUGCCUACCUAUUCACACCUGAGUGGCUGCAAGGCAUUAACAAGGACCGGCCAACGGGGCGCCUCAGCACCUGUCUUCUGUCGGCGCCCUCUGGGAUUCAGCGCCUGCCCUGGGCUGAGCUCAUCUGCCCACGAUUUGUGCACAAAGAGGGCCUCAUGGUCGGACAUCAGCCAAGCACACUGCCCCCAGAACUGCCCUCUGGACCUCCAAGGCUUCCUAGCUCUCCACUCCCUGAGGAGGUGCUGGGUACCCGGAGUCCUGGGGAUGGACACAACGCUCCUGUAGAAGGUCCGGAGGGUGAAUAUGUGGAACUGUUGGAGGUGACGCUGCCUCAUAUGAGGGGAAGCCCCACAGACGCUGAGGCCUCAGGCCUCUCCAGGACCCGCACAGUACCCACCCGGAAGAGCACUGGAGGGAAAGGCCGGCACCGGAGACACCGGGCAUGGAUGCACCAGAAAGGCCUGGGGUCUCGGGACCAGGAUGGGGCACGCCCUCCUGGUGAAGGAAGUAGUACCGGGGCCUCUUCUGACUCACCCCCGGGAGCUGAGGCCGACCCAGAUGCAACGGUCCCGGAGGCAUCUGAGCCCCCAGCAGAGGCUCUGGGGGAGGCCGCUGAAUCCUGCCUCCCCCCGGGGGAGGCUGGAGGAGGAGCCGGCCAGGGCGCUGAAGGACCACCUGGUACCCCGCGAAGAGCAGGCAAAGGGAACAGAAGGAAGAAGCGAGCUGCUGGCAGAGGGGCUGUAAAAGCGGAGAAUACCCCGCUCAGCCCCAAGGACAAGGACGAGACUAGGCAGCAGGAAGUCCCUGUCAGUCUGCCCUCCUCACCCAGGGAACAGGAACCUGCAGAAUGCAGCCUGGUUAAGGAGAAAGAGGAUUCUGGGAAGCCAGAGUCUGAAUCAAAAGAGGAACUCAAGCCCACAGAUGGAAAAGAGCCUGCACCCCCAGAAGACUGUGGGCCCCCAAAAAAAGGGAUCAGAGAGAGUGAACAAGAGGUGUUGGUACCGGGGUAUGUGACAGGACCCACAGGUCCGGGGUGGUUCCCAUCUGAGCCCCCAACACAGCCCCCAGAGACUGUGCAGGAUGUAAAAGGAGACAGCGUCCCGGAAGAGACUCCCCCAGUUUCCAUCUUGGAUGACCCACCUGUAGCUUGGGACUUGAUGGCAUCUGGAUUCUUCGUUCUGACUGGAGGGGUCGACCAGACUGGGAGAGCUUUGCUGACUAUUACGCCACCACCCCCGUGCCUUCUUGAGGAGCCCUCACCCUCCCAGGAGACAUUGAACACUUCCCUUCGUUACCUCCACUCACUGCUUAGGCCUGACCUGCAGUUACUGGGGCUAACCGUCCUGCUGGACCUCCGCAAGGCGCCCCCGCUGCCUCCAGCACUUAUUCCAGCCUUAAGUCAGCUUCAGGACUCUGGCAACCCUCGGCUCGUUCAGCGGCUGGUGAUUCUUGCCCAUGAAGACCCUCCAGCUGAACUCUGUGGACUUCAGGGAGCUGAGUUGCUGUCAGAGAAGGACCUGAAAAGAGUGGCCAAGCCAGAGGAGCUACAGUCGGACUUAGGAGGUCACAGGGACCUCUUCCCCAACCACUGGGCAGAGAUACACCAGGAAGUGGCAAAGCUAUGCAGCUUGUGCCGAGGUGUGUUGACCUCUGUGCGGCAGGCUAUUGAGGAGCUCGAGGGAGCAGAAGAACCAAAGGAAGAGGAGGCAGCGGGGAUGCCUGAGCCCCUGCAAAAGGUGCUGGCAGAUCCUCGGCUGACGGCGCUGCAGAGGACCGGAGGAGCCAUCCUGAUGCGCCUGCGCUCCACCCAUAGCAGCAAGCUUGAGGGUCCAGGCCCAGCUGUGCUCUACCAGGAGGUAGAUGAGGCCAUUCACCAACUCGUGCGCCUCUCCAACUUACGAGUGCAGCAGCAGGAAAAACACCAACGCCUGCGCCAGCUCCAGCAGGUGUUACAGUGGCUCUCUGGCCCAGGGGAAGAGCAGCUGGCCAGCUUCGCCACGCCUGGGAACUCACUCUCGGUCUUGCAAGAGACAGAACUGCGGUUCCGAGCUUUCAGCACCGAGGUGCAGGAGCGCCUCGUCCAGGCCCGGGAAGCUUUGGCUCUGGAGGAGGACAUGGCCUCCCAGAAAGUUCUGGAUAUCUUCGAACAACGACUGGAGCAGGUUGAGAGCGGCCUCCACCGGGCUCUGCGGCUGCAGCGCUUCUUCCAGCAGGCACACGAAUGGGUAGAUGAGGGCUCUGCUCGGCUGGCGGGAGCCGGGCCGGGUCGCGAAGCUGUGCUGGCCGCCCUAGCCCUGCGGCGGGCCCCGGAGCCUAGUGCAGGCACCUUCCAGGAGAUGCGAGCCCUGGCCCUGGACCUGGGCAGCCCAGCAGUCCUUCGAGAAUGGGGCCGGUGCCGGGCGCGCUGCCAAGAGCUGGAAAGGAGGAUUCAGCAGCAGCUGGGAGAGGAGGCCAGUCCUCGAGGCCACAGACGACGACGGGCAGACAGUGCCAGCAGCACGGGAGCCCAGCAUGGGGCCCAUAGCCCUUCGCCCAGCCUCAGCUCCCUGCUUCUUCCCAGCAGCCCUGGGCCGCGGGCAGCCCCAUCCCACUGCUCUCUGACCCCGUGUGGGGAGGACUAUGAGGAGGAAGGCCUUGAGCUAGCUCCAGAAGCAGAUGGAAGACCCCCAAGGGCUGUGCUGAUCCGAGGCCUGGAGGUCACCAGUACUGAAGUGGUAGACAGGACGUGUUCGCCCCGAGAACAUGUGCUGUUGGGUCGGGCUGGAGGGCCAGACGGGCCCUGGGGACUGGGUACCCCGCGAAUGGAGCGCAAACGGAGCUUCAGUGCCCAGCAGCGUCUAGUUUCUGAACUGAUUGCCUGUGAGCAAGAAUACAUAGCCGCUCUGAAUGAGCCAGUGCCGCCACCUGGGCCGGAGCUGACGCCUGAGCUCCGGUGCGCCUGGGCCGCAGCCCUGAGUGCCCGAGAGAGACUCCGCAGCUUCCACGGGACGCACUUUCUACAAGAGCUGCAGGGCUGUACCACCCAUCCUCUGCGCAUCGGGGCCUGCUUCCUUCGCCAUGGGGACCAGUUCAACCUCUACGCACAGUUCGUGAAGCACAGACACAAACUGGAGAGUGGUCUGGCUGCAGCCGCCCCCUCGGCCAAGGGUUCCAUGGACAGCAGCCCCUGCUUAUCCCGGGCCCUGCAACAGCCCCUGGAGCAGCUGGCUCGGUACGCACAGCUCCUGGAGGAGCUCCUGAGGGAAGCCGGGCCCGAGUUAAGCUCCGAGCGCCAGGCCCUCAGGGCUGCUGUACAGUUGAUCCAGGAACAGGAGGCCCGAGGCAGAGAUCUGCUAGCGGUGGAGGCGGUGCGAGGCUGUGAGAUAGAUCUGAAGGAGCAGGGGCAGCUCUUGCACCGGGACCCAUUCACUGUCAUCUGUGGCCGGAAAAAGUGCCUCCGCCAUGUCUUUCUCUUUGAGGACCUGCUCUUGUUCAGCAAGUUCAAAGGCUCCGAGGGGGGAUCUGAGGCCUUCGUUUACAAGCAGGCUUUCAAGACUGCCGACAUGGGGCUGACCGAAAACAUCGGCGACAGUGGACUCUGUUUUGAACUAUGGUUUCGGCGGCGACGCGCACGAGAAGCGUACACUUUGCAGGCUGCCUCACCAGAGACCAAACUCAAGUGGACAAGCUCCAUCGCCCAGCUGCUGUGGAGACAGGCGGCCCACAACAAGGAGCUCCGUGUGCAGCAGAUGGUCUCCAUGGGCAUAGGGAACAAACCUUUCCUGGACAUCAAAGCCCUCGGGGAGCGGACGCUGAGUGCCCUGCUCACUGGAAGAGCCGCCCGCACCCGGGCCUCCGUAGCGGUGUCUUCCUUUGAGCAUGCUGGCCCGUCCCUUCCCGGCCUCUCACCGGGAGCCUGCUCCCUGCCGGCCCGCGUCGAGGAGGAGGCCUGGGAUCUGGACGUCAAGCAGAUUUCCCUGGCUUCCCCUCCAGCCCCAGAAACACUUGACUCUUCUGGAGAUGUGUCCCCAGGACCAAGAAACAGCCCCAGCCUGCAUCUCCCACAUCGUGGGAGCAGCACUCCCACUCUGGCCAGUGGAGGGAUCUUAGGGCUGUCCCGGCAGGCCUGGCUGAGAAGCAUCAAGGUCAGAGGUAAAAAAAAAGCCUUAAAGAGACACACACAAUAGAGAGCAUGUCUAAACACCCUGCAAUUUCUGUGUCCUCAGAGUCAUUCCCGAGCCCUGAGUGACCCCACCACACCUCUGUGACCUGAGAAGAUCCAGAACGUGGCUGCAGCCCCUUUUCAGCACAUUUUAGGCUGGUAUGCCAAUGGGACAGGAUGGAGGACUAAGCUCUCAAUUCCCUCUCUGCUUCCCGGACAGAGAGGAGGGCGAGGACCAGAGCGUCCCCUCUCACUGCUCUCUCUAGCUCUCCCCUGCUUCGUGCCUUCUGCUGCAGGAACCAGAGUGGCCCCGUUUGCUUGCCUUUGUGCCCCGGGGGCAGGGAAACAUCCCUCUUCCAGUGUUUCCCCUCAUCCUGUGCCGCUGCACAGCCGCAGGACACUGCUCUGCUGACAGCCUGCUUUUCUUCUCACCCCCUGACUCUCCCAGAAGAAUCAUCUCUGCCAGGUGGAAUGGAAUUCCAUUCUGGGGUACCAUGGGAAAUGAAGUGUUAUAAGCCAUUGAAGGAGAUGGGGUGGGCAUUGCAGACUUUAUAUAUGUAAUUACUGUUAUUAUACUGUUGUUAUAUUAAAUGUAUUUGCUCUCA